UAGAGGAAGCAGCAACGUGAGGGCUUAUGGGAGAAGAGCCGCAUAAGGGCAGAGCCCUGCAUGCAAACUGCAAGAAAGGGUCUGCUGUGGUAAGACCAGGACGCCUGUGAGGAAGGGCGUAAGGGGAAGAUGAGAGUGACAUGUGUCAAACUGCUUGACUUGCCGUGAAAUGAGAAAAUCCUGACUCUCCAAUGGUCCCAGGAUCUCUCUCAGAUACUCUCUCUAACUUUCCCCCCUCGGGAUCAGUCUGUUUUACUGGAUGCCAGGCACACAUCACAACUGCCCUCCCCUCCACAGGAACAAUGAAAACCUGAGCUCCUCAAGGCUAACUUUGCAUCCAGGGACGGAGCUAGGUCACCUCCAAGCAGACGUUAAAGUGAAGAGGUAGAGAGCCCGUUGGCCACACGCCGUGCACUCUCUUUAUCCCACACUGUACAACAUUUCCAAUCUUAUUCAAUAAUUUAAUAUACAUUUUCUUGUCAAGCUUCUUGGCAGCCGGCUAUGCAGCUUGCAAGAUGGACUGAGAAUGCCACAGGUGGGCUGAUUAGCGGGUGGCAUUUCUGAAUUCGAACAAGCUGUUAGCAUUAUGUCUGUUUGCUUUAGGUACAGAUGUGAAAUGAUUUGACAGUAGAUUUCAAAAGUGUGUGAGUACAUUUUUUGUAUGUCAAACUAUGGAAAUCUGUUUUUUUUUUAAAUUUCACACAUUGAUGGUAUGUAUUGUAUUUAUUAAUUUCAGAAAGUAUAUGCCGUUGGCAUGGCAUAAAAAUUAAAAAGCACUAUCCAUAAUGUAUAAAAUGAACAGAUUGGAUAAGCACCCACCCCCAGUUAAUCAGAAAGUCUUAUCUCGUGCUUGAGAAGAAGUCAGAGGUUGGAAUAUCAUAGCCAGAA